CUCCUACCAGGGGGCAUGGUUCGAAAUAUGUAAAGGCGGCUUCGGACACGUCACUUAUGGAUGGACCCGCGACGCGUUACGGUAGUUGGUGAGGUAACGGCACACUAAGGCAACGAUGCGUAGCCGACCUGAGAGGGUGAUCGGCCAGCACGAUGUGGACUGAGACACGGCCCAGACUCCGACGGGAGGCCGCAUUAGGGAGAUCUUCCGCAUUGGACAAGAGUCUGACGGAGCAACGCCGCGUGAGUGAUGAAGGCUUUCGGGUCGUAAAACUCUGUUGUUUAGGAAGAACAAGUGCUAGUUGAAUAAGCUGGCACCUUGACGGUACCUAACCAGAAAGCCACGGCUAACUACGUGCCAGCAGCCGCGGUAAUACGUAGGUGGCAAGCGUUAUNCGGAAUUAUUUUGGGGCGUAAAGCGCGCGCAGGUGGUUUCUUAAGUCUGAUGUGAAAGCCCACGGCUCAACCGUGGAGGGUCAUUGGAAACUGGGAGACUUGAGUGCAGAAGAGGAAAGUGGAAUUCCAUGUGUAGCGGUGAAAUGCGUAGAGAUAUGGAGGAACACCAGUGGGGAAGGCGACUUUCUGGUCUGUAACUGACACUGAGGCGCGAAAGCGUGGGGAGCAAACAGGAUUAGAUACCCUGGUAGUCCACGCCGUAAACGAUGAGUGCUAAGUGUUAGAGGGUUUCCGCCCUUUAGUGCUGAAGUUAACGCAUUAAGCACUCCGCCUGGGGAGUACGGCCGCAAGGCUGAAACUCAAAGGAAUUGACGGGGGCUCCGCACAAGCGGUGGAGCAUGUGGUUUAAUUCGAAGCAACGCGAAGAACCUUACUCAGGUCUUGACAUCCUCUGACAACCUCUAGAGAUAGGGCUUCUCCUUCGGGAGCAGAGUGACAGGUGGUGCAUGGUUGUUGUCGUCAGCUCGUGUCGUGAGAUGUUGGGGUUAAGUCCCGCAACGAGCGCAACCCUUUGAUUUUAGUUGCCAUCAUUAAGUUGGGCACUUUAAGGUGACUGCCGGUGACAAACCGGAGGAAGGUGGGGAUGACGUCAAAUCAUCAUGCCCCUUAUGACCUGGGCCUACACACGUGCCUACAAUGGACGGUACAAAGAGCUGCAAGACCGCGAGGUGGAGCUAAUCUCAUAAAACCGUUUUCAGUUCGGAUUGUAGGCUGCAACUUGCCUAC
rnacentral:rRNA from 1 species